rnacentral:misc_RNA from 1 species
AAGUCAUAACAAGGUAUCUGUAGGUGAACCUGCAGAUGGAUCAUUAGUGAAUAACAAGGGGUUCCCACUCUGUGGGCCCCAACCCUAUCACCAAAUCCACACACCUGUGCACCGCUAGUAAUGACCGAUGCUUUUCCAAGCAUCUUGUCAUUGCCGGCACCUUUUUACACACACACGCAAAGUAAAUGAAUGUCACUGUAACUACGCAAGUAGAAACAAAAUACAACUUUUGACAACGGAUCUCUUGGUUCUCC